rnacentral:rRNA from 1 species
AUUGAACGCUGGCGGCAGGCCUAACACAUGCAAGUCGAGCGGGGUUUUCGGACCUAGCGGCGGACGGGUGAGUAAUGCGUAGGAAGCUACCCGAUAGAGGGGGAUACCAGUUGGAAACGACUGUUAAUACCGCAUAAUGUCUACGGACCAAAGUGUGGGACCUUCGGGCCACAUGCUAUCGGAUGCGCCUACGUGGGAUUAGCUAGUUGGUGGGGUAAUGGCUCACCAAGGCGACGAUCCCUAGCUGGUUUGAGAGGAUGAUCAGCCACACUGGAACUGAGACACGGUCCAGAAUCCUACGGGAGGCAGCAGUGGGGAAUAUUGGACAAUGGGCGAAAGCCUGAUCCAGCCAUGCCGCGUGUGUGAAGAAGGCCUUCGGGUUGUAAAGCACUUUCAGUAGGGAGGAAGGGUGUUGUGUUAAUAGCACAGCAUUUUGACGUUACCUACAGAAGAAGCACCGGCUAACUCUGUGCCAGCCGCCGCCGUAAAAC